GCGAUUCACCCGCCUUGGCCUCCCAAAGUGCUGGGAUUACAGGUGUGAGCCACCGCGCCCGGCGUUUUGUUUCAUUUUUAUUUUUGAGACACGGUCUUGCUCUGUCGCCCAGGCUGGAGUGCAGUGUCGCAAUCUCGGCUCACUGCAUCCUCCGCCUCCCGGGUUCAAGCCAUUCUCGUGCCUCAGCCUCCCGAGUAGCUGGGACUGCAGGCGCCCACCACCACGCCCGGCUAUUUUUUUUUUUAGAGGUGGGGUCUCACUAUGUUGCCCAGGCUGGUCUCAAACUCCCAGGCUCAAGCGAUCCUCUAGGCUUUGCUUCCAAAGUGCUGAAAUUACAGAUGUGAGCCACCAUCUGACAAUCUUGGUCAUUUAGUCCACAUGAAUUUUGGGCUUUUGGCCUGGAGAACUACGAGAGAAUACAUUUCUGUGGUGUGAAGUUUAACACCCAGUUUGUGGUACAUUGUUCAGCAACCCCAGGAAACUAAAGCAAGUGACUGCAGGUCUGGUCACCUUCCUCGGUGCCUGUGCCUGGGGUUGGUUCUGUCGAAGCAGGAAGACAACUGGCAGAGAUGGGAUGAAGUAACCAAAAGGAAAGGAAGAUUCUAGCACCGUACGUCAGCAUUAAGAAAUCAGGA
rnacentral:lncRNA from 10 species